rnacentral:rRNA from 1 species
UACACGAGCGGCGAACGGGUGAGUAACACGUGGGUGAUCUGCCCUGUACUUCGGGAUAAGCCUGGGAAACUGGGUCUAAUACCGGAUAUGACCUACGGAUGCAAUGAUCUUGGGUGGAAAGAUUUAUCGGUACAGGAUGGGCCCGCGGCCUAUCAGCUUGUUGGUGGGGUAAUGGCCUACCAAGGCGACGACGGGUAGCCGGCCUGAGAGGGCGACCGGCCACACUGGGACUGAGACACGGCCCAGACUCCUACGGGAGGCAGCAGUGGGGAAUAUUGCACAAUGGGCGAAAGCCUGAUGCAGCGACGCCGCGUGAGGGAUGACGGCCUUCGGGUUGUAAACCUCUUUCGACAGGGACGAAGCGCAAGUGACGGUACCUGUAGAAGAAGCACCGGCCAACUACGUGCCAGCAGCCGCGGUAAUACGUAGGGUGCGAGCGUUGUCCGGAAUUACUGGGCGUAAAGAGCUUGUAGGCGGUUCGUCGCGUCGUUCGUGAAAACUUGGGGCUCAACCCCAAGCUUGCGGGCGAUACGAGCGGACUAGAGUACUUCAGGGGAGACUGGAAUUCCUGGUGUAGCGGUGAAAUGCGCAGAUAUCAGGAGGAACACCGGUGGCGAAGGCGGGUCUCUGGGAAGUAACUGACGCUGAGAAGCUAAAGCGUGGGUAGCUAACAGGAUCAGAUACGCUGGUAGUCCACGCCGUAAACGGUGGGUACUAGGUGUGGG